AUGAAUUCCGAGCUGGGGAGGAGGAGGAUGAUGAUGAUGAUGAUGAUGAUGAUGAUGGGAUGGGGAAGAUUCUCUCCUUUCAUGAAAAGAUCAAAGCCCUUUAAGAAAACAAGGCCACCAACUGCAAAGUGCUCUGAACAUUCAGGGGCUCCCCCUUGGGGUCGGGAAUUCCUUCGGGACAUUCCCUGGGGUGGGACUUGUGCCCUUCCAAGGGAUUUGGAAAAGGAUUUGUGUCCCCUCCAAGGGCAUUGGAAAAGGAUUUGUUCCCGCCCAAGGACCCUGGACAGGGAAUUGUGCCCCUCCAAGGGAUCUGGACAGGGAUUUUUGCCCUCCCAAGGGUGGGAGCAGCGCUGGAUUUCGGAGCCGAGCCCCGAGCCCACCCCUGGGAAGGUUUUGGGGGGCUCAGGGCAGCCCUGGAGACAGGGAAGGGGGAAAAGGGGCCCAGGGAUCCCUCUGGAUCAUCCCUCCCACCCCAGGAUCCCUCUGGAUCAUCCCUCCAACCCCAGGAUCCCUCUGGAUCAUCCCUCCUGCCCCGGGAUCCCUCUGGAUCAUCCCUCCAACCCCAGGAUCCCUCUGGAUCAUCCCUCCUGCCCCGGGAUCCCUCUGGAUCAUCCCUCCCACCCCGGGAUUCCCUUGCCUCGGGCUCAAAUCCCAAAGGGAGCAGGGUUGGGAGCUGCCCACCCCAAUCAUGGAUUGCUUUUCAUUCCACAGGGAAACAAAAACAACAACAA
rnacentral:lncRNA from 1 species